rnacentral:rRNA from 1 species
AGAACGAACGCUGGCGGCAUGCCUAACACAUGCAAGUCGAACGAGACCUUCGGGUCUAGUGGCGCACGGGUGCGUAACGCGUGGGAAUCUGCCCUUGGGUUCGGGAUAACAGUUGGAAACGACUGCUAAUACCGGAUGAUGUCUUCGGACCAAAGAUUUAUCGCCCAAGGAUGAGCCCGCGUAGGAUUAGCUUGUUGGUAGAGGUAAGAGCUCACCAAGGCGACGAUCCUUAGCUGGUCUGAGAGAUGAUCAGCCACACUGGACUGAGACACGGCCCAGACUCCGUACGGGAGGACAGCGAGGUAGGGGAAUAGUUAGGAACAGUGGGACGAAAGCCUGAUCCGAG